UCAGAGAAACCUGGAAAGACAUGGUCUCGCGACCAGAGAGAAAAGGUUCGGGAGUCGGUUACGCGAGGGGAAGGUAUUAGCACCCCUCACGUCCGUCGUACUCGACGGGAUCCACGUUCUAAGAAAAGAAAAGGUUGCUAAACAUCACACACACACACAAGGGAACGCAGGUGGGGUUAAGAGAAACGGGCUCGAUAAGGUAUCGCACCUUAUGCCUACAUAUCUUGUCUGGAACAAGAAUCAGAGCCACUG
rnacentral:lncRNA from 1 species